AGAAUCAACGCUGGCGGCGUGCCUAACACAUGCAAGUCGCACGAGAAAGGGACUUCGGUCCUGAGUAAAGUGGCGCACGGGUGAGUAACACGUGAAUAAUCUACCUCCGAGUGGGGAAUAACUGAGAGAAAUCUCAGCUAAUACCGCAUAACACUUACGAGUCAAAGCAGCAAUGCGCUUGGAGAGGGGUUCGCGGCCGAUUAGUUAGUUGGCGGGGUAAUGGCCCACCAAGACGAUGAUCGGUA
rnacentral:rRNA from 1 species